rnacentral:lncRNA from 1 species
GGCAGUCCAGCCGCAGGGGCCACCCGAACAGUCUCUCCUCCUCACAGAAGCCUGGAGCUGGGCAUCCAAGAAGAAGCAGCCUCAUUUGUUUUCUGGUGUCAUCGUAGGUGGCCACCUAUGGCUUUUGGGCUUCUCACCUGGGGCGGGUGGGUUCUGCACCACCCUCCCACCCUCCUUCCUCCGUGUGGACGAUAGAGCCACAUCCAGCACCACGGACAGCUCCCGGGCGAUCCCAUGGGAGUAGAAGAGGUGUGAGCAGGUUGCCCAGCUGGUUAGCGGAAAUGCCAAGAUCCAGGCUCCUGAAUUUCAGCCUGGCCCUUUCUAUCUGUCUGAUACCUCCUUUACGAGUCUCUCUGCCUGCGUUGUGUGGAGCGGGCCUGCUGCUGGUUGGGGGAGUUUGCAGGUUGCCCCUAUGCAAAAAAGGACAGGAUGCAUGACUGGCAUGUAAGGUGUUCAGGAAAACCAGGAAAAGCCUUCAUCUCCUCGUCCUCCAGGCAGCACAAGCCAUUGUGGAAUCUCCACCAGGUGUACAGAACGGUGCCUCUGCGUCCUGCCACUCAGGACCUCUCAAGUCCCCGAUGUGAUGGCUCCUCAGCAUGAUCAGGAGUGAGCGUAAUUCAGACCUAUUUAGAUCCGUCAGCCCACGGACCAGGGGGACCUUGAGCAGGACAGUCUUUUGUCUCCAAGCAGUCAUUCCCUGUUAUACAAGCAAGAGUCAGGAGGAGGAAUGGUUUUGGCAUCAUCCCCCACAGACAGCAAUGGGGCCUUUAGGCCUGGAAGGAAGGACCAGGCUGCGGCUGGCAUAUGGAGGUUGAGCCCUGGGCACGGGGCAUCAGCUUCACCCGGCUGGGGAUGCCUUCUGCUGGGUUUGUCCAUCUGGCACCAGCUGGCUUCCCAGCACCGCCCCCACAACCAACCAGACUCCUCCUUCUGCUGUUGCCAUGGCAAUUGGCUGCCAUAUUGUACCUCAGAGCACUAGCUCCUAUCUGGAUUUUCCCGCGGGGUUCCUAGAGGGUGGGAGAUGGGUCUCCAGGGAUUUAUCCCUUUCCCCUGAUAUCUAUCCAAUAAAAAUUCAUAAUAACAUAUGAUUUUUUAA